rnacentral:rRNA from 1 species
UGGGGAAUAUUGUGCAAUGGGGGAAACCCUGACACAGCGACGCCGCGUGAGUGAAGAAGGUCUUCGGAUCGUAAAACUCUGUCAUCGGGGACGAAGAUGACGGUACCCGAAGAACAAGCCACGGCUAACUACGUGCCAGCAGCCGCGGUAAUACGUAGGGGGCGAGCGUUGUCCGGAAUUACUGGGCGUAAAGGGCGUGUAGGCGGCCUGUUAAGUCAGGGGUGAAAGACCGGGGCUCAACCCCGGGGGUGCCUCUGAAACUGGCGGGCUUGAGUGCUCUAGAGGGCAGUGGAAUUCCCGGUGUAGCAGUGAAAGGCGUAGAGAUCGGGAGGAACACCAGUGGCGAAGGCGGCUGCCUGGGGAGUCACUGACGCUGAGGCGCGAAAGCUAGGGGAGCAAACAGG